UGAAGAAGCGGGGAUACUCCUAUAAGACGAAAAGACCCCAUGGAGCUUCAAACCCAACUACACCCUUAACUACCACAACCACACAACCUCUUAGGGCCCUGUAUAGUUGGUUUUAGGUUGGGGCGACCACGGAGUACAACCAAACCUCCGCAAUGAACGGGACCACUCCCUUAUCUAAGAGCCACACCUCUNAGAAUUAAAACACUAACAUAAAAUGAUCCAUGAUCUGAUCAAUGAACCAAGUUACCCUGGGGAUAACAGCGCAAUCCAUUUCAAGAGCCCCUAUCGACAAGUGGGUUUACGACCUCGAUGUUGGAUCAGGGUAUCCUAGUGGUGCAGCAGCUACUAAUGGUUCGUUUGUUCAACGAUUAA
rnacentral:rRNA from 1 species